CACAUGUGAGUCUGGGUUGGCAUCUCACCUCGUCCCUCUGCCCUCCAGCCUCUAUAUUUGUGAUGCGGGCCAUCCUGUGGUGCCCAGGGCAUCACUGGCACUCCCAUUGCACCCCAGGGCCUUUGCACGGCAUCCUGGGUCCCAUGACUCUCCUGUGCCCACUCUCUGAUCUCUGACUGUCCACCUCCCUCCCAGGGUACCUGUGCCACCCCCAUCCUGCUUCCCUCUCUGGUGUGAUGCGGGCUCCCUCGGGACCUUUCACUUUCCUCCUCAUGGCCGACUUUCCCGUGAGACCAGCCCUACCCAGGUGAGCUCGGUGCUCCAUCUCUGGCACCCGGGGCCUGUCCCAAGGGCGGCUCUACAAAUAUUUGUCCAAUCGAUUGGCUUGUUUGCUAACGGUGUGGCUUGCUGCUCACUGCUGGUAACGGAGCUCAAUCCUACGUCGCCAGAACCUUUAGCCACCCUGCCGCUGGGCACAGGAGCUGUGGGCUCCACACACAGGCCAAGGAGCCGGUCACUAUGCAGGACUGCUCAAGGGUCAGCGGCUUCUAGAAUGUCCAGGCACCCCAGCCCCUCGGCUCUGGGCCUCAUGAGCCUCCUCCUCCUCUUGGGAGGGGCGGGCUGUUUGCAUCUCCCCCUUCCCCUCUCCUGGCUGGAAUUCCUGGGGAGCUUGGGUGCCCCGAGCCAGGCUCUACCGAGGUUCUGGAGUCAUCAGUCCAGGUGUGACAUGGACCCCAGGAUCUCUCAAGUGUUCCCGGGGAAUUCCAAGGCACGGCAGGCUUGAGCCCCACAGGCCGCGGGAUCUGGCGAGGGGAACCGUGGUAACUGCCCUGGGUCAGACCUGUGUGCAGGAUGCUCUUAGCAGACGUCACACACCAAGCUCCCUCCAGGGCCAGGCAGGGGCUGGAGCUGCAGGGUGGCCGUGAGAGGCCACAGGGAGUGGUGCAGACUGGGGACAAGCCAAGGCCUGUCCUGGAGGAGUAGC
rnacentral:lncRNA from 1 species